ACCAAGUCACAGAAACUGCGUUAAUGGCGUUCCAGAGCCUAGCUGGAGAUGUUUGCAUUGGCCCUAGUGUCUCUGUGCAUUUUUCAUCAUGCCCAAAUAUCACACUCGAAUCAGCGGAAAUUACUUUAAGUAUACUCUCGCACACUUUUUCGUGUUGUGACGUAACAUGGAUGGACUUGAGAACUCGAUGGCUCGAUCGCUCACAAUAAUUUUCCGAACCCCAAAGCUCAUUCACGGAAGCCUCACAGUUUCAAUUCAGAGACAGAGAUGCGCCCAAGGACACAAGCGUUCGGACGGAUUUUUCGUCAAUCGUUAUCGAGCAAUUGACUAGAUCUGAAUUUUCUCAACCGUAAACUGUUAUACUGUGAAUAAGGAAAGGAUGACUCGUAGUAACUGAUCAAACGUGGACUUUUCAAAAUUACAUUCUAUAAAAAAAAAUAGAAAUACAAUACAAAUUAUCUUAUUUCUUACAGAAUAUUAUAUAAGUAAGAUCUACAAGUAAUACAUACAAACUCUUUCAAUCAAUGACGAAAUUGUGACUGCCCUCCAUUAAUUAUAGGACUAGAAGAGAAUUAAUCGGCUGAAUGAGAACAGAGAACAAAAGAGAUUUUAUAAAAAAAAUUAGAAAGCUUGGAAAAAAAAAACAUUGGACACAUAUCUCGUAAUAAGUAACAAUACAUGUAUGUAAUCGUAAUCACAGCAUAAUAAUGAGUAUAUUAUAUAUUUACCUUAUUUUUAUUCGUACUAAAGCAAUACGUAAGAUAUCUCGAAACAGUUUUGCUACGAGUGUAUAAUCGAUGGGUAAUAAGUAGCAGCGAAAUUGUUCAAUUGCAUAAUUCACAUUUGUUUAUUGCUCUAUAUACAAAAUAUCUAAUUUGCAAACAUCUGUUUGCGAUAAUGGGGGAAUAAUACCGGAGCUGCGAAGUGACGUCAGAGAUUUGUCGCGGUCCAUGUACUCUCGGCGCUCAAACACGACGCGGCAAACAUGAACGACGUUAUCGCGUAGGAGGGAGAGAGUGAUAGGGGAAGAGGAGAAGGGAGGGAGAUGGGGUAGGCGGGGAGAAAGAAACAAAGCGGCAAAAAAUCGAACGCGAGCGUGGAAAAUGACGUACGUACACGCGGCGGGGCGCGAAGCGAAGCGGGUUUCCACGCGCUACGGGCGGCGUAAGCGAGAGAGAGAAAAAAAAAAA